rnacentral:lncRNA from 1 species
CCCAGCUGCUUCAACCCGAAGCAGGAGAAGUAGAGGAAAACACCUCCUCACAGAGGAUGUGGAAGGAUCAAAAGCUAUCUAUCGCGAUUGUCGAGACUUCCUAAAGCAACGUCGAGAGAAUCCCAUCCACAUAAGCUCGAAGAUCAAUGACCCAAGGGUUUCUGAAAGACUCGGUCCUCUUCCACGACCCAGGCCAGCCGCCAAUCUAGAUAAGGGGCAACAAGUCCCAGAAGAAUAUGAAGGUACUGGGGACUCGGAAACAUUCCGACAUACUUACUCUAGAAGUCAGUGUGGCGAGUCCAGAGAAAGAUCACGCUAUCUUGAUCAAACUUUCCUACUUCCAAGAGGUGAUGGGGACUUAAAGAAGAAAACUUCAGUGGUGCACGACUCCACUCAGGACCCCCUUGUCCUGCAGCUCCUUGAGGAAGUAAACAAGCUGAAGGCUGAACGUCAAGCCGAGAUACCUGACUGGAACCAACCCAGGCCUGGCCCUCUCACAAGAAUGAUCCUCAACACUCCCCUCCAAGCGAAGACAAAGCAGAAGCUUGACUUACAGCUCUAUA